rnacentral:rRNA from 1 species
CGUACACUCCUACGGGAGGCAGCAGUGGGGAAUAUUGCACAAUGGGCGCAAGCCUGAUGCAGCCAUGCCGCGUGUAUGAAGAAGGCCUUCGGGUUGUAAAGUACUUUCAGCGGGGAGGAAGGCGAUAAGGUUAAUAACCUUGUUGAUUGACGUUACCCGCAGAAGAAGCACCGGCUAACUCCGUGCCAGCAGCCGCGGUAAUACGGAGGGUGCAAGCGUUAAUCGGAAUUACUGGGCGUAAAGCGCACGCAGGCGGUCUGUCAAGUCGGAUGUGAAAUCCCCGGGCUCAACCUGGGAACUGCAUUCGAAACUGGCAGGCUAGAGGCUUGUAGAGGGGGGUAGAAUUCCAGGUGUAGCGGUGAAAUGCGUAGAGAUCUGGAGGAAUACCGGUGGCGAAGGCGGCCCCCUGGACAAAGACUGACGCUCAGGUGCGAAAGCGUGGGGAGCAAACAGGAUUAGAAACCCGUGUAGUCCCAUGA